rnacentral:rRNA from 1 species
AAUACGGAGGUCCCGAGCGUUGUUCGGAUUUACUGGGCGUAAAGGGUGCGUAGGUGGUCGGGUAAGUCUGAUGUGAAAUCUCCGAGCUUAACUCGGAAACUGCAUUGGAUACUAUUCGGCUAGAGGGUUGGAGGGGGGACUGGAAUUCUCGGUGUAGCAGUGAAAUGCGUAGAUAUCGAGAGGAACACCAGUGGCGAAAGCGAGUCCCUGGACAACUCCUGACACUGAGGCACGAAAGCUAGGGGAGCAAACAGGA